rnacentral:rRNA from 1 species
GAUGAACGCUGGCGGCGUGCCUAAUACAUGCAAGUCGAGCGAACGGACGAGAAGCUUGCUUCUCUGAUGUUAGCGGCGGACGGGUGAGUAACACGUGGAUAACCUACCUAUAAGACUGGGAUAACUUCGGGAAACCGUAGCUAAUACCGGAUAAUAUUUUGAACCGCAUGGUUCAAAAGUGAAAGACGGUCUUGCUGUCACUUAUAGAUGGAUCCGCGCUGCAUUAGCUAGUUGGUAAGGUAACGGCUUACCAAGGCAACGAUGCAUAGCCGACCUGAGAGGGUGAUCGGCCACACUGGAACUGAGACACAGUCCAGACUCCUACGGGAGGCAGCAGUAGGGAAUCUUCCGCAAUGGGCGAAAGCCUGACGGAACAACGCCGCGUGAGUGAUGAAGGUCUUCGGGUCGUAAAACUCUGUUAUUAGGGAAGAACAUAUGUGUAAGUAACUGUGCACAUCUUGACGGUACCUAAUCAGAAAGCCACGGCUAACUACGUG